GCAGAGUUUAUAAGAUUAAAUUACAUGCUUGCAAAUAUCAUUAAUAGGUUAACAUACCCUUCUGAACAUGUCAUCAUGUCAGCCUCUCUGUCAUUUUAAGAUGGAGCAGCGUCUGUCUCCAAGUCUCUCCUCUGUGUCUUAACAUUUAAAAGUACACCUAUUUAUACCUCUGUCUCCAUUUUAGGUUACCGUAGUUCAAAUAUGAAAAAGUAAC